GCUUGUCUCAAAGAUUAAGCCAUGCAUGUCUAAGUAUAAACAACUUUAUACUGUGAAACUGCGAAUGGCUCAUUAAAUCAGUUAUAGUUUAUUUGAUAGUACUUACUACUUGGAUAACCGUGGUAAUUCUAGAGCUAAUACAUGCGAAAAGACCCGACUUCUGGAAGGGUUGUAUUUAUUAGAUAAAAAACCAAUGGGGGCAACCUCUUUGUGGUGAUUCAUAAUAACUUUGCGAAUCGCAUGGCCUUGUGCCGGCGAUGAAUCAUUCAAAUUUCUGCCCUAUCAACUUUCGAUGGUAAGGUAUUGGCUUACCAUGGUUGCAACGGGUGACGGGGAAUUAGGGUUCGAUUCCGGAGAGGGAGCCUGAGAAAUGGCUACCACAUCCAAGGAAGGCAGCAGG
rnacentral:rRNA from 1 species